CAGAGGAAGGAGUCCACAAAGGCACAAGUGCUCAAGACACUCAUCAUUCAGCCUCAUUGACUACCACUUUAUGCCUGCAACACAACAGGGUUAGAAUAGAGCCUUUUGAACGCAAAUUCAGGUUCCCAUACCAAUUAUAAACUGUGUUAUAAAACUCAGAUUUGAUAAGAGGAAAGUCGUGGUUAAUACACACAGUAUUAGAACUUCAGGGGGCUGGAGACUACCAAGAACAGACAGAUUCAUUCUGUUCUCUGCUCUGAUUAAAUAAUUUCUGCUCUGCUAUUCUCUCUCAAAUAUCUUCAUCCUGUUUCGAUUAAUAGAAAAAAUCUUUACAUCUUUGGAGAUUCAUUAAACCAAUUUGGUUGCUUCCUUCGCUGUCUCAAGAAUUCUAAGGAUUUAUUGUUUUCAAUUUUAAAAUGGUCAAUAGUACAACUGACACCUACCACUUAUUUGCUGGUCAGCAAUGAUACAGUCACCGUCCCUGUAACUCCAGUUCUUAGCCCAGUGUCUGGCAAACACUAGGCGCUUAAUAAAGGUUUAAUAGAUUGAUACAUGAAUCACCUCUUGGAUGGAAAUUACCUUAUGUAGGUGGACUAAUUUGAUCUUUUCUAAUCUCCCACCUUGUAAGAAGCAUCUUCCACCGGUAUCACAAUUGUCAUUUUCGGGUGAUCUCUGGGCUCUUCUUCCCACCUCCCCUGGCUCCAUCAGCCAGUCACUUCCUCCCUCCUGGGCUCUGUUCCUCGCUCUUCUCUAUCCUGGGGUCUGGAAUGGUCCCCAGUCCGCCGGGAGGCAGUAGGGUCCCAGUUCCUCCAGCCGUCCCCGGCGCUCCCCACAAGGUCUCCCCGACACCCCUUCCUCCAGGCACCCCGCGCCGCCCAGGGCCACGCCCUCCCCGUGGGCGAGAUCACCUGUCCCUCCUCCGCCGCCGCCUCCUCGGGUACCCUUUCGCCCCCCUCCUGCUCCCCUUCCUCCGCCGCCUCCCCCAAGCCCUCCCCUUCCCCGCCUCCUCCCACCCCUUGGUGUAUAUAGUAAAGGCCGGGCGCCGCACGCAGACACACACUCGCCCGGACACAGGCGCACACACGCUCACGCACAACCGGCAGCGGCGGCGGCGACAGCGGCUCGGUGACAGCGGCGACGGCGGCUCCCACCGCGGCGCACCCCCUUCAGGCGGCCGGCGGCGAGGCCAGACCCGAGAGUUCCCGCACCCGCGACCACCCCGCGGCUUCCUGGAGGCGGCGGCCGCGAUUCCAAGAGAGAUCCUUCCAUGA
ensembl:lncRNA